rnacentral:tRNA from 1 species
GCGCCCAUAGCUCAGCUGGAUAGAGCGUCUGGCUACGAACCAGAAGGUCGGCAGUUCGAAUCUGUCUGGGCGCACCA